rnacentral:rRNA from 1 species
AAUGAACGCUGGCGGCAUGCCUAACACAUGCGAGUCGAACGAAGGCUUCGGCCUUAGUGGCGCACGGGUGCGUAACGCGUGGGAAUCUGCCCUCAGGUUCGGAAUAACAGCGAGAAAUUGCUGCUAAUACCGGAUGAUAUCGCGAGAUCAAAGAUUUAUCGCCUGAGGAUGAGCCCGCGUAGGAUUAGCUAGUUGGUGUGGUAAAGGCGCACCAAGGCGACGAUCCUUAGCUGGUCUGAGAGGAUGAUCAGCCACACUGGGACUGAGACACGGCCCAGACUCCUACGGGAGGCAGCAGUGGGGAAUAUUGGACAAUGGGCGAAAGCCUGAUCCAGCAAUGCCGCGUGAGUGAUGAAGGCCUUAGGGUUGUAAAGCUCUUUUACCCGGGAUGAUAAUGACAGUACCGGGAGAAUAAGCUCCGGCUAACUCCGUGCCAGCCGCCGCAGUAC